rnacentral:rRNA from 1 species
CGCUGGCGGCGUGCUUAACACAUGCAAGUCGAACGGUGAACCAGAGCUUGCUCUGGGGAUCAGUGGCGAACGGGUGAGUAACACGUGGGCAACCUGCCCCAGACUCUGGGAUAACCUCGGGAAACCGAUGCUAAUACCGGAUACGACCACUUCGGACAUCCGACGGUGGUGGAAAGUUUUUCGGUCUGGGAUGGGCCCGCGGCCUAUCAGCUAGUUGGUGGGGUAAUGGCAUACCAAGGCGACGACGGGUAGCCGGCCUGAGAGGGCGACCGGCCACACUGGAACUGAGACACGGUCCAGACUCCUACGGGAGGCAGCAGUGGGGAAUAUUGCACAAUGGGCGAAAGCCUGAUGCAGCGACGCCGCGUGAGGGACGACGGCCUUCGGGUUGUAAACCUCUUUCAGCAGGGACGAAGCGAAAGUGACUGUACCUGCAGAAGAAGCACCGGCUAACUACGUG